CUCCACCAUUUUCUGGUACUCCACUCUCAUCAGGUAGCCCCUGCACCUGGCCUGGGUGCGGGUGAUGAGCUGAGCCAGCUUCUCAUCUCUCAUCUCCUCCAGGAGUCCCACCAGCCCAGCUUUGAAGAACACCUUAGGACUCUGUUGGGAAAUCCUUUCCUGCAAAUCCUGAUCCCUUCCAGCACGCCGUUACAGCGCAGCUGGUGCAGCACCAGCUCGUGCUCCAUGGCACCUGGCAAUGCAGAGCACAAACACAUGCCAUGUUCUGUAAUACAGCAAGGAAGAGCUGCACCACACUGAAAACCUUCAAUGUACAUUCUUGACAGUGACUUUUCCCGAUUCUCUGCUUGUGAUUGUCCCUUUCACAAAGGAUUCUUUGGGAUGAACCACGAAGACAGAUGACUUGGCAUCGAAAGGGUGAACUUCACUGAACUUCACAGAAGCAAACCACAGCAGAGAUAAAUGGCAGGAGGCAGUGUGGUGGAAGCCAUCUCUGGACACAGACUGUGCUGCACAGCAAUGCAGUGUCGUCAAGGUGAACAUUCCCCAUGGAGGAGAGAGGAUUCAGUCGUGCUGAAAAUAGUUCCUUCUUGAGACAGUCAUCAGACAGCUGCUCCCUUCCUGCCAGGGUCUAAGAUGUGUAUUUCUGAGAGAUAAGGAGUGAGAAGGCACUUUUUAGCCAGGCCGCAGCCAGGCUGGGGAGGGCAAGGGGAAGUUCCUGCAGGUGCUGUGUGUUGGCCACUGGGAACCUCCCUUUCUGCCUGCUCAGACUCAUCAAGCUCAUGAACUGGAAACAAGAAUGGCCUGUAUGGGCAGCAGCAGGAAAAGGAAUGGGUUUUUUGUAGUCUUUACCCCUGGAAGCUACUCUCAGGUUAUAUGCUCUGUGUUUCCCUGAGACAGACAGACCUCCAAGGUGGUCCCUCUGGCUGGGGACGUGUCCAGGUGGCCACUCCCAGGCAGCUGAAGCCAUGGCUAUCACUGAAAGCUUUGAUUUCACUUCAUUCAAUCAACAGACAGCUAAUUCCAUGCCACUUGCCAUAGCAUAUCCCUCCAGAACACCAAAUCCAUAAAACUGCUUCUCAUGAACAUCAGCUGAAAUGUCCUCAGCAAAAGCAGCAGGCUUUGGUUGCUUUGAGUCCUUGAAGAGCAGAGUGACCUGCAGGCAGAGUCAGAGAUCUGUGGAGCUCAUUGGGGCAGCAAAAUGCAUCACAUCACAUCAGGAAACAUCACAUCCACCAGGUGAGGAGCAGCAGGGCAGGCAGAGUACAGGAGAUUCUUCUCAUUACCACAGGCUGGACAUAUUCUCAGUGGUCACUGAAUGCUGCCUUGUAGGACCGGUCCUCAUGACAGAGUGGCUAGAGCAGCACCAACAGAUAUGGUGAAACCCAGGAGUGCACUGUUGAAGGGACAACACAGAGUUUUUCCCAUCAAGCCACUUCUCCACGAUGUCCCAGGCAGAACAAGUGUGUAUGUGUAACCAGAAACUGGAGAAUGCUACAGGGAUGUGCCCCAGGCACUUGGUCCUACAGCAGAGUCACCAGGAAUAAACUGGAUGCAGAAAGUGCCUCUAUUUCAUGCACUAAGUUGAAAGUCAAACCUCCUUUUUAUGUUUAUCAAGGAACAAUGACAUCUCUCCUGGAAGACUCCCUCCAUUUCUAGUGAAAAAUGGCAUGGAAACAGUUGGAAAUACUGCUCUCCCAGCCAGGGAG